rnacentral:tRNA from 1 species
GAGGAUAUAGUUUAGUAGGUAGAGUGCUUGCCCAGCAUGCACGGAGCCCUGGGUUUGAUUCCCAGCACCACA